CCCCGAUGUCUUCCCGCUGAGCUACCUGUGUACAUUGUCAUGAUCAUCGUCGUUGGCAUCCUGAUCCGGGGCUACUUCCCUGUGGGCCCUCUGAAUGUGACUUGGAACCACAACGGGAACGUCACGUAUUUCCCACCUGUCCUGACUCAGCCUGACCCUGAGUUCACCCAGUUCACCUCAAUCCACCUGCUGAUUAUACCUAAUGGAUGUCCUGAGAAAAGCAGUGUGUCCUGCACCGUGGAAUACAACAACUACAAAGUGAUUGUGGAGGUUCCCUGCCAAGCCCAAUGUCCUUGCCCCUGCCCCUCCUGCAAGCCCAGCAUCUUCCUGCAGCGGCCAAGCAUCAAAGACCUGCUCCUCAACUCAGAAGCCAACAUCACCUGCACACUGAAAGGCCUGAAGAACCCCGAUGGUGCCGUCUUCACCUGGUCACCCGACACGGGGAACACGCCUGUGCUGCUUAGUGCCCAGGAGGACUCCUGCGGCUGCUACAGUGUGUCCAGCGUGCUGCCUGGCUGUGCAGAACUCUGGAACCAGGGCACAACGUUCACAUGCACUGUCCAACACCCUGAGAUAGAGGGCUCACUGACUGACACCAUCAGCAAAGACACAGGGAAUGUCAUCCCACCCCAGGUGCACCUGCUACCGCCACCAUCAGAAGAGCUGGCCCUGAACGCACUGGUGACACUGACCUGCCUGGUGCGCGGCUUCAGCCCCAAGGACGUGCUCAUCUACUGGCUGCACCUACACAAGCUGGUCCCCAAGGAAGACUUCAUCGUGUUUAAGCCCCUGCCAGAACCCAACCAGAAUUCCAGCACCUUCGCCGUGACCAGCCUGCUGCGCGUCUCGGUCGUGGAUUGGAACAACGGGGACAACUUCUCCUGCGUGGUGGGCCACGAGGGCCUGCCCAAGAACUUCACCGAGAAGACCAUCGACCGUCUGUCGGGUAAACCCACCCACGUCAAUGUGUCUGUGGUCGUGGCAGACGUGGAAAGUGUCUGCUACUGAGCCGCCUGCCUGCCCUGCCCUGAAUAAACUGUGUGCUGGCCCCAGCA